AAAAAGUAAAUAAUUUUCAAUGUAAGAAGUAACUAGUUAUCAACUUUUAUUAAUUUUCUCUACAAAUGGUACAUUUUGGCUCUUGGUUGCCAGCUGUUUGUUUUUAAGUGGUAGAAAGAAUUGAAACUAUAUUGAAUAUUGGUGUUCAAAACUGAACUUUUCCUACUUUUUUUUCAUUCAGUUAUUUGGUGAUGUUUGUUUCCACUGCAACCGUGUCAUAGAAGGUGAUGUUGUCUCUGCCCUCAACAAGGCCUGGUGUGUGAGUUGCUUUGCCUGUUCCACUUGCAACACCAAACUGACUCUCAAGGAUAAGUUUGUUGAAAUUGAUCUAAAACCUGUCUGCAAACACUGUUAUGAGAAAAUGCCAGAAGAAUUUAAGAGGCGACUUGCCAAACGGGAGAGAGAAGCAAAGGAUAAAGACAAGCAAAAAAAGAAAAAGCCAGUCUGUUUGUAAACUUUUCUAUCCCUCCUGUCAUCAUCUUCACUAAUUUCUUCCUUGGAAUAAAUUUGUGGAAUUUGAUAUGAAGCCAGUCUGUAAGAAGUGCUAUGAGAAAUUUCCAUUGGAGCUGAAGAAAAGACUGAAGAAACUAGCUGAGACUUUAGGAAGGAAAUAACAUUCUUCAUUUGUUCUCUUCCAUGCAAAGUUUAGAGAUAACCAACAUUACUUGUCUUGAUCUACUCUUACUUAAAGCUAAAUCUCAAGGCAGUUGAGAGGGAAGAAUGGUUGUCUUCAUCUCUUUUUCUCAUUUAGAAAAACUGUAUAAACGGAUGUAGACACAGAUAGAAUGAAGAUUUGCCUUUGUUUACCAAUACCAGUUAGUUGACAUGUAGACAAUACAGGAAAAAAGUGCAUGGUUAAAUGUUAAAUUUUAAUGGAGACUGCCAAAAUUAAAUACAACUUUUCAAAAUGAAAAGAGUCAGCUUUUACAUGACUCACAUUACAAAAUAAACAUUUUGCUUUAUGUUCAAAAAAAAAUUACUCCCACUGUUAGGGAGAAUAUGGGAAAGGAAAAUAACCAACACAUCUUACACAAUUUUAGUGUGUUUAUCAGACUAAUAGUUGUAAAAUGAAUAUACACAUCUAAGAAACAAGUGUAUUCAGAACUACUUUGUUAAAUGCAACAAUUAUUAUGCUUAGUUAUCUAUUUUAGUUUCCUCUUAAGCUUUCUUUGUACGAAUACUUAACACAGUAGUGGUAGCUAGCUAGUAUAUAUCUUUUAAAUUUUUGUGCAAAAAAAUUAUACCAGGUAUCUGAAUAUACAGCAUACUUUGCAAUAUUGGGAAAAUGAAGUCCUUUUAAUGUGAUACAGCAAUUGUGCUUCUAAGCUUAAUGUCAAACAUAUAGUAUAUGAAUUAACAUGAAAUUGAAUAUUAUGUAGCUUGGAAUUAUCAUUUUUUGAAAAGUGGAUGUAUAUGUACUGAUCACAUUGCCUUUAUAACCAUGCCAAUAUCUAUGUUUUGUGCAUAAUCAAACUUGCCUUGCCUUAGAAAACACGUCUUCAUCAGGAAUUCUAGCUAUUUCAUAUAAUACUGGCCAAAACUAAGUGCAUUGACUGAGACCAGUAAACUCAAACUCAUUUACCACAGAUAUAAUUAAAAUAUUUUCUUAGAAGCCCACUGAAAUUUAAUUACUGUCAUUUUAUUGGACGAGAAUGAUGUUGAUACUUGUUUCAGGUUUUCCAUUUCAAAUAUCGUAAUUAAUUGGAUUUUUUUACUGUAAGGAGGAAGUCUAAGUGCUACUUUUA